UGUUAAAAAUUUCAUCCAAUUCUAUUGUAAAAAAUUGGCAUGACUGACAAAAUAACCAAAUAGUGACAUGUGGAGUGCUACAUGUACCUCAUGGUAACGUACAUAGACCAGUUUUUAACAAUCGAAGUGGAUGGAAUUUUUAAUA
rfam:Gossypium hirsutum cultivar TM-1 chromosome 6, whole genome shotgun sequence